AAGGAAUAUUACGGAAACCUACACACGAGUCGAAACUUUGUUUAGUUUUGAGAGAUUUAACUCUCAAAACUUGUUCUUUGCAAACUAGAUAAUAUCAAAUAUACUUUUUCAUAAUGAAACCGAGAACACCGCGUUUUUUGAGUUUUUUAUUGAAGUUUAAUUAUCGCUCAACUCAUUAAUCGCAUUUACCGUUAGGUAAAUGAGGUU
rnacentral:misc_RNA from 1 species